UACGGGGGGGGCAAGCGUUGUUCGGAAUUACUGGGCGUAAAGGGCUCGUAGGUGGCCAACUAAGUCAGACGUGAAAUCCCUCGGCUUAACCGGGGAACUGCGUCUGAUACUGGAUGGCUUGAGUUUGGGAGAGGGACGCGGAAUUCCAGGUGUAGCGGUGAAAUGCGUAGAUAUCAGGAGGAACACCGGUGGCGAAGGCGGGUCUCUGGGCCGAUACUGACGCUGAGGAGCGAAAGCGUGGGGAGCGAACAGG
rnacentral:rRNA from 1 species